rnacentral:rRNA from 1 species
AAAAGAACCUGAAACCGUGUACGUACAAGCAGUGGGAGCCCCACCACUAAGCCAGUGGUGAACUCCACAUACGCAUCCUUUGCUGAGGAUACGGUUAACGGAGCGAAAGCGACGUUCAACCGCAAAAGAAGCAGAGGGGGCUUAGUGGUGGGGUGACUGCGUACCUUUUGUAUAAUGGGUCAGCGACUUAUAUUCUGUAGCAAGGUUAACCGUAUAGGGGAGCCGGAGGGAAACCGAGUCUUAAUUGGGCGUUAA